rnacentral:rRNA from 1 species
ACGAACGCUGGCGGCGUGCUUAACCCAUGCAAGUCGAACGGAAAGGCCCUGCUUUUGUGGGGUGCUCGAGUGGCGAACGGGUGAGUAACACGUGAGUAACCUGCCCUUGACUUUGGGAUAACUUCAGGAAACUGGGGCUAAUACCGGAUAGGAGCUCCUGCUGCAUGGUGGGGGUUGGAAAGUUUCGGCGGUUGGGGAUGGACUCGCGGCUUAUCAGCUUGUUGGUGGGGUAGUGGCUUACCAAGGCUUUGACGGGUAGCCGGCCUGAGAGGGUGACCGGCCACAUUGGGACUGAGAUACGGCCCAGACUCCUACGGGAGGCAGCAGUGGGGAAUAUUGCACAAUGGGCGGAAGCCUGAUGCAGCAACGCCGCGUGCGGGAUGACGGCCUUCGGGUUGUAAACCGCUUUCGCCUGUGACGAAGCGUGAGUGGCGGUAAUGGGUAAAGAAGCACCGGCUAACUACGUG